ACUCCCCCAUCCCACGCCCACAGGAGGCAGUAGCCCUGUCCCUGCCAUCCCCCAGGUCCGGAGGAAGGAGACCUUGCUGAAGCAGACUUUCAAGAGGGUUCUGUGAAAAUAAACGAGGCUGCUGAUUGGAAUAGAGUCUGAUGCUGAGGGAGGCGGCAGAUGACCUUGGCCUCUCCUUUCCCAAAAGACUUUGUAAAUGUUCUCUUCAGGGAAGCCAUACUUCUCAGAGAUCUGGAAGAGAGCAGUAGGGGGUUUGUUAUCUGCUGCCCAAACUGGAUCCUUUCCAGCCUUUUAUACUCUGACUUCUAUUUCCUGGUUAUAAAAGUAAUAUACAUCCCUACUGUGGAAAAAUGCGAAGAAGAAGGUUA